rnacentral:lncRNA from 1 species
UGCAGAUUCAGUUAAAACAUAAAGUACCUGGCGGACUAUUUCUGGAGGUUACAGUUUUGUUAUUAAAAAAAAAAUACACAAAUAAUGGGUCUGGAAGAGGAAGCAUAAUAAAUUUGAGGACUCAGAAGUGAUGCUAAAUUUGGACAUUUGAAGAAGGGGCACAGGAAAGCAAUUCAAAGGCACUUGAGUUAUCAACGUGCACAGAGGAAAUUAAGUAGGAGGCAUGUUGGAAAGGCACCCACUGAUAUCGACCUGGAUGGAAGCCCUUGAAGUCACAGUUCCUCCACAGCAUGGGCUUUGAACUCCUGCGCUUGGGUCUGGCUUCCACAAAGAUGAACUCAGAAUGGAAAAAUUAAAAAAAAAAAAAAAAAAAGUUGGAAGCCAUUGCCACUACAGUGCCAACCUGGCCAGCCACAAGACCAUAAUAUUUUUUAAACUCUGACGGCUAGAAAUGGACACAAAUUGCUCUCUUGUGGUUGCCAGCAGGUUUCUGAAUCAUCUUUGGGUUAGGGCUUCAGUAGACUUUUGAUUUUGCAAGGUCUAGUAAAGAACUUUUAUACACACAAGGUAGAGAAGACAAAGAGAGAGCCGGCACGGAGGUUCACGCCUGUAAUCCCAGCACUUUGAGAGACUGAGGUAGGAGGAUCGCUUGAGCCCAGGAGUUAGAGACCAGCCUGGGAAACAUAAGGAGACCUAGUCUCCACAAAAAAUUUAAAAAGAAAAAUUAGCUAGAUGUGGUGGUGAGUGCCUGUGGUCCUAGCUACUCGAGAUGAGGCGGGAGGAUUGCUUGAGCCUGGGAGGUCAAGGCUGCAGUGAGCUGAGAUGGUGCCACUGCACUCGCCUGGGUGACAGAGAGAGACCCUGUCUCAAAAAAAAAAAAAAAAAAAGAAAGAAAGGAAAGAAAAGAAAAGAGAAAGAGAAAGAGAGAAGAGAGAAGAGAGAAGCAGGAUGGAGCAAAGGGAUACAAAUGAAGGAAGAAGGGCAUAGGUUCACGUGGAAGGAGAAGGAAAACAAUAACCUGGAGAAAAGGAAGAAAAGGUACAGAUGGAGAAAAAUAGGCUGAGAAAACAAUGUCUGUGGCCAGUCCUUGGGGAGCCGGAUGAACCUGCAGUUGACACCCAAAGACGGCUGCCCGGGGUCAACGGAACAGUCCAGGCUCGGGGCACGUGCAGAGGGGUGGUUUCUGGCUUCUCAUCAUACCAACAGGGAGCAGUGUUGGAACGUUGCCAGGAGAGUGGUGAGCGGCUGCCCUGGGCACUGGAGGGGCGGCGUGGGUUUAAAGGCCAACACCAUGGCUGUCCAGUGGAACGCUGUCGGCAGCAUCCUUAACUGCCCCUGCCUCUGAUGCCUCAUCUGUACUGCAGGGACGGACUACACCUUCCUUUUUGUAUCCUGGGAGGAAUUAAAUGAGAUGAUACAUUCAGAGUGUUUAGCACAGUGCCUGACACAUAAGAAGCCCU